rnacentral:rRNA from 1 species
CUGUUCAAGACUAGCCAUGCACGUCUAAGUACAAACUAAAUGAUGGUGAAACUGCAAAUGGCUCAUUACAACGGUUAUGAUGUACCCGGGAGUUCCGAUGGAUAUUUCCAGUAACACUAGAACUAAUACAUGUCCCUGCGUUUAUUAGUUUCGCACAGUCCGUCGCUGAGUCAUGGUAAACAGUUGAUCGACUCGACGUCCCGGAACAGUUUCCGCCCCAUCAGCUUCGAUGGUUGGGUAUUGGCCUACCAUUGCAACAACGGGUAACGAGGAAUUAGGGUUUGAUUUCGGAGAGGGAGCCUGAGAAACGGCUACCACAUCUACGGAUGGCAGCAGGCGCGCAAAUUACCCAAUGCAGACACUGUGAGGUAGUGACGAGAAAUAAUAAAGCGGGACUUCUGUUUCGCUAUUAUAAUGAGGAAUAACCAAAGGUCAUUCCGAUUAGCAACUGAUGGGAAAGUCUGGUGCCAGCAGCCGCGGUAAUACCAGCGUCAGUAGCA